rnacentral:rRNA from 1 species
UACGGAGGGGGCUAGCGUUGUUCGGAAUUACUGGGCGUAAAGGGCUCGUAGGUGGCCAACUAAGUCAGACGUGAAAUCCCUCGGCUUAACCGGGGAACUGCGUCUGAUACUGGAUGGCUUGAGUUUGGGAGAGGGACGCGGAAUUCCAGGUGUAGCGGUGAAAUGCGUAGAUAUCUGGAGGAACACCGGUGGCGAAGGCGGCGUCCUGGACCAAUACUGACACUGAUGAGCGAAAGCCAGGGGAGCAAACGGG